UGGCGGACGGGUGAGUAAUGUCUGGGAAACUGCCCGAUGGAGGGGGAUAACUACUGGAAACGGUAGCUAAUACCGCAUAACGUCGCAAGACCAAAGAGGGGGACCUUCGGGCCUCUUGCCAUCGGAUGUGCCCAGAUGGGAUUAGCUAGUAGGUGGGGUAACGGCUCACCUAGGCGACGAUCCCUAGCUGGUCUGAGAGGAUGACCAGCCACAUUGGAACUGAGACACGGUCCAG
rnacentral:rRNA from 1 species